CUCUCCUCAACACGUGGAGAUUACAGUUUGAGAUGAGAUUUGAGUGGGGAGACAGAGCCAAACCAUAUCAGAGUCAGUCCUCAUUCUGUGUUAACCCCUGAAAACUCAGUGCUAUUAAAUGUUGAAGUUGCCCUGUUUGAAACCUUCCCUUCAGCUACUAUGUUUAGUAAAUUGAACUAAAUGAAUUAUCUUGCUUUCUGUUAAGUGACUCCUUUAUGCUAAUGAUUUGUGGUGCCAUAUCUCUAGGCCCAACCUAAGUUUUGAGCUGCUCAACAUUUACACCUGGAUGUCCCACCAGCACUUCGAUUUGAAUGAGUGUAGUUUGAACAAGUAUGGUUCCCCUGCCAUGUGUUACAGAUUUUUUUUUAUAGUAAUUUCAUUGAGAUAUAAUUUACAUAUCAUACAAUUUACCAAAUUCAAGUGUACAAUUCUAUGACAUUUAGUGUUUUCAGGGUUGUACAACCAUCACUAUAAUGAAUUUAAAAACAUUUUCAUCACCCCAAAAGGAAACUCAUACCAUUUGCCCUAUCAUAGCCUAAUCCCUCCACCAUCCACCCACUCCCCCAGUGCUAAGCAACUAUAAAUCUACUUUUUGUCUCUAGAUUUGUCUCCAUUCUGGACAUGUCAUACAAAUGAAAUCAUAAUAUGUGAUCUUUUGUGAUUGGUUUCUUUCACUUAGCAUAGCAUUUUCAAAGUUCAUCUGUGUUGUAACAUAGCAUGUUAGUGUUUCCACCCUUUUUAUGGCUAAAUAAGAUAUACCACAUUUUGUUCAUUCAUCAAUUGGUGGACAUUUGGGUAGUUUUUGACAUUUAGUUAUAAUGAGUAAUGCUAUUAUGAAGAUUUGUGUAUACAUUUUUAUGUGUACUUGUGUUUCUAUUUCUCAAGUAUGUACCUAGAAGUGGAAUUGCUGCAUCAAAUAGUAAAUAUGUUCAAUUUUUUGAGUAACUGCCUGUUUUCCAAAGUUGCCACACCAUUUUACAUUCCUAUCAGCAGUGUGUAUGGAUUCUAAUUUUUCUGCAUCCUCACCAUCACUUGUUAUUAUCUGACUUUUUAUUAUAACUUUCCUAAUGGGUAUAAAGUGGUAUCUCACUGUGGUUUUGUCUUACCCUGUUUCUCUUAAAGCUACCAUAAGCCACCGAGUUUCCCAGAAACACUUGAAUAUCUCCAAUCCAUUUUACCAUCUACUAUUGCCACUAGACGUCCAAGUGCUUGUCCUCUAUCACUUGAAUUAUUAUGACAACCUUAGCUAUAUAACUGACCUUCUUUUUUCCACCCUCUUCCCAUUGCCCAGCCAAAAAAAUCGCAUUAAACACCACUUGUAAUAUAAUGUACAGCUUAAAAGCCUGAGAAGUAUAGAAAGGAAAAACUUUCUGGGAAGCUUACAGUGGAAAAACCUAGCAAACAUUUUAAAUGAAGUGAUCGAGAUUAACAUCAGCAAUGAUGUGUCCUCUAAAAUAAUGUGAUAAAAAUACCUGUGUGGUAUUUUUCCUAAAACCUUUACCUCCAGGCUAAUCAUGAGAAAAUGUCCGACAAACCCAAAUUGAGGAAUAUUCGACAAACUUUCUGAUCAGCACCCCUCAAAACUGUGAAGUUCACGAAAAACAAGGGAAGACUGAGAAGAGGAACUCAGAGUGAGGAGAUUAUGGAGACCAUGACAACUAAAUGUUUUGUGGGAUCCUAUAUUGACUCCUGGAAAAGAAAAAGCACAUUAAUGGAAAAACCAGUGAAAUCUGAAUGAGGACUGGCUUUCAGAUGUUCUUCCAGUGUUCACUUUUAUUUUCAUCUGAAAGUGACAAAAUUGAACACAACUCUGAAAGCCCCUCUUCAUAAGAUGAGCAUACUGUGGACCUAGUGGGGAGCUAGGAAUUAGAAAUCAUUGCCUCUAAACCAGGGGAAUUUGUGGACUAUUUCUGUCGGGACUCAGUGACCUAAAGGAAUUGACCUACUGAGCAAUUUCUUUCAGUCUCCACCGUGUGAGUAAGUCAUGAAAACAACUCAAGGUAAGACAUAUAUAUUUAUGGCUGCACACGGUGGCUGAAGCCUGUAAUCCCAGCACUUUGGGAGACCACAGUGGGUGGAUCACCUGAGGUCAGGAGUUUGAGAC